rnacentral:lncRNA from 1 species
CCUGCCAACUGUAACUAACACAACAACUCUGAGGGGCGUGAUUAUCUCCCAUCUGGCAGGUAGGAUGCUGAGGCUCAGUUAAGUACCUUAUCCGAGUUCACACAGGUAAGAAAUGACAGAGCCAGGUCUGGAUUCAUAGGAAUUUAAUGCCAAGGCACAUUCUUCCUAAUACCUCCCAAAGUGCUGCAAUUAUGGCAAGAGCCACCUCAUCAGACCCUGGUAAUUGAAUAUUGAACAUUCAUAUUUUAUAAACAUUUUAAGCCUAUUUCUUCUUUUCAUACAUCUUAAGCUUCAAUUCAAAAUCCUCU